ensembl:snoRNA
GCACGUGUGAUGUGACACCACAGGAUGAGGAACUGUGAUGCUGUAAACGCUUUCUGAUGUG